rnacentral:rRNA from 1 species
GACGAACGCUGGCGGCGUGCCUAAUACAUGCAAGUAGAACGCUGAAGAGAGGAGCUUGCUCUUCUUGGAUGAGUUGCGAACGGGUGAGUAACGCGUAGGUAACCUGCCUUGUAGCGGGGGAUAACUAUUGGAAACGAUAGCUAAUACCGCAUAACAAUGGAUGACACAUGUCAUUUAUUUGAAAGGGGCAAUUGCUCCACUACAAGAUGGACCUGCGUUGUAUUAGCUAGUAGGUGAGGUAACGGCUCACCUAGGCGACGAUACAUAGCCGACCUGAGAGGGUGAUCGGCCACACUGGGACUGAGACACGGCCCAGACUCCUACGGGAGGCAGCAGUAGGGAAUCUUCGGCAAUGGGGGCAACCCUGACCGAGCAACGCCGCGUGAGUGAAGAAGGUUUUCGGAUCGUAAAGCUCUGUUGUAAGUCAAGAACGAGUGUGAGAGUGGAAAGUUCACACUGUGACGGUAGCUUACCAGAAAGGGACGGCUAACUACGUGCCAGCAGCCGCGGUAAUACGUAGGUCCCGAGCGUUGUCCGGAUUUAUUGGGCGUAAAGCGAGCGCAGGCGGUUUGAUAAGUCUGAAGUUAAAGGCUGUGGCUCAACCAUAGUUCGCUUUGGAAACUGUCAAACUUGAGUGCAGAAGGGGAGAGUGGAAUUCCAUGUGUGGCGGUGAAAUGCGUAGAUAUAUGGAGGAACACCGGUGGCGAAAGCGGCUCUCUGGUCUGUAACCGACGCUGAGGCUCGAAAGCGUGGGGAGCGAACAGGAUUAGAUACCCUGAUAGUCCACGCCGUAAACGAUGAGUGCUAGGUGUUGGAUCCUUUCCGGGAUUCAGUGCCGCAGCUAACGCAUUAAGCACUCCGCCUGGGGAGUACGACCGCAAGGUUGAAACUCAAAGGAAUUGACGGGGGCCCGCACAAGCGGUGGAGCAUGUGGUUUAAUUCGAAGCAACGCGAAGAACCUUACCAGGUCUUGACAUCCCGAUGCUAUUUCUAGAGAUAGAAAGUUACUUCGGUACAUCGGUGACAGGUGGUGCAUGGUUGUCGUCAGCUCGUGUCGUGAGAUGUUGGGUUAAGUCCCGCAACGAGCGCAACCCCUAUUGUUAGUUGCCAUCAUUCAGUUGGGCACUCUAGCGAGACUGCCGGUAAUAAACCGGAGGAAGGUGGGGAUGACGUCAAAUCAUCAUGCCCCUUAUGACCUGGGCUACACACGUGCUACAAUGGUUGGUACAACGAGUUGCGAGUCGGUGACGGCAAGCUAAUCUCUUAAAGCCAAUCUCAGUUCGGAUUGUAGGCUGCAACUCGCCUACAUGAAGUCGGAAUCGCUAGUAAUCGCGGAUCAGCACGCCGCGGUGAAUACGUUCCCGGGCCU